AACGUAGGAGACAAACGUUAUCCGGAGUUACUGGGCGUAAAGGGCGUGUAGGUGGUUACGUAAGUCUGGCGUGAAAUUUCUCGGCUUAACCGAGGCAGGUCGUCGGAUACUGCGGGACUAGAGGACGGUAGAGGCGUGUGGAAUUCCGGGUGUAGUGGUGAAAUGCGUAGAGAUCCGGAGGAACACCAGUGGCGAAGGCGACACGCUGGGCCGUACCUGACACUGAGGCGCGAUAGCAUGGGGAGCAAACAGG
rnacentral:rRNA from 1 species